UACGUAGGUGACGAGCGUUAUCCGGAUUUACUGGGCGUAAAGCGCUUGUAGGUGGCUUUGUAAGUUGGGCGUGAAAACUCUGGGCUUAACCCAGAGACGCCGUCCAAUACUGCGAAGCUAGAGGAUGUCAGAGGAAGGUGGAAUUCCUGGUGUAGUAGUGAAAUGCGUAGAUAUCAGGAGGAACACCCGUGGCGAAGGCGGCCUUCUGGGGCAUUCCUGACACUGAGAAGCGAAAGCUAGGGGAGCAAACAGG
rnacentral:rRNA from 1 species